rnacentral:misc_RNA from 1 species
UCCGGUUUGUCACCGGCAGUCUCCCUAGAGUGCCCUUGCGUAGCAACUAGGGACAAGGGUUGCGCUCGUUGCGGGACUUAACCCAACAUCUCACGACACGAGCUGACGACAGCCAUGCAGCACCUGUGUUACGGCUCUCUUUCAAGCACCCCCACAUCUCUGCAGGGUUCCGUACAUGUCAAGGGUAGGUAAGGUUAUUCGCGUUGCAUCGAAUUAAUCCACAUCAUCCACCGCUUGUGCGGGUCCCCGUCAAUUCCUUUGAGUUUUAAUCUUGCGACCGUACUCCCCAGGCGGGCAACUUCACGCGUUAGCUGCGGUACCAGGAAAUCGCUUCCCCAACACCUAGUUGCCAUCGUUUAGGGCGUGGACUAC